GACGAACGCUGGCGGCGUGCUUAACACAUGCAAGUCGAACGAAGAGCGAUGGAAGCUUGCUUCUAUCAAUCUUAGUGGCGAACGGGUGAGUAACGCGUAAUCAACCUGCCCUUCAGAGGGGGACAACAGUUGGAAACGACUGCUAAUACCGCAUACGAUCUAAUCUCGGCAUCGAGGAUAGAUGAAAGGUGGCCUCUACAUGUAAGCUAUCACUGAAGGAGGGGAUUGCGUCUGAUUAGCUAGUUGGAGGGGUAACGGCCCACCAAGGCGAUGAUCAGUAGCCGGUCUGAGAGGAUGAACGGCCACAUUGGGACUGAGACACGGCCCAGACUCCUACGGGAGGCAGCAGUGGGGAAUCUUCCGCAAUGGACGAAAGUCUGACGGAGCAACGCCGCGUGAGUGAUGACGGCCUUCGGGAUGUAAAGCUCUGUUAAUCGGGACGAAAGGCCUUCUUGCGAAUAGUGAGAAGGAUUGACGGUACCGGAAGAGAAAGCCACGGCUAACUACGUG
rnacentral:rRNA from 1 species